rnacentral:rRNA from 1 species
AUCGUAACUCCUACGGGAGGCAGCAGUGGGGAAUUUUGGACAAUGGGGGCAACCCUGAUCCAGCAAUGCCGCGUGAGUGAAGAAGGCCUUCGGGUUGUAAAGCUCUUUUGUCAGGGAAGAAACGGUAGUAGCUAAUAACUAUUACUAAUGACGGUACCUGAAGAAUAAGCACCGGCUAACUACGUGCCAGCAGCCGCGGUAAUACGUAGGGUGCAAGCGUUAAUCGGAAUUACUGGGCGUAAAGCGUGCGCAGGUGGUUGUGUAAGUCAGAUGUGAAAUCCCCGGGCUCAACCUGGGAAUUGCAUUUGAGACUGCACGGCUAGAGUGUGUUAGAGGGAGGUAGAAUUCCACGUGUAGCAGUGAAAUGCGUAGAUAUGUGGAGGAAUACCGAUGGCGAAGGCAGCCUCCUGGGAUAACACUGACGCUCAUGCACGAAAGCGUGGGGAGCAAACAGGAUUAGAAACCCUUGUAGUCCUAGAGC